AUUUAUACAUUUUCUUUCUUAUUAGAACCUAAGCUUGUCUUGUUAGGGACUGUGUCUUUAAUAGUGUUUACAUCUCCAGAACCUAGUAGUAUGAUGUGCAUGUGCUUGUUGUUUGUUACUUAACCCUUCUGUCUUUGUAUGUGCCCAGCACAUUGGAGGAGUAAAUCCACAGUUUUGACUGAAUAAUACAUUAAUGGUUAGGUUUAAGCAAAUUUAUUAGUGAUUACAAGUAUAAUUUUCCUCAGGUAUCACUUUAUUCUUUCAUUUAUCCUAGCUAAACCAUGUAUUCUCUUAUAGUUUAAUUUACUCUGUGGUAUGAAGUAUUGAUCUUCUAUCAAAAUUCUGCCAAACUGCUUUGGAUUUAUGCCAUCUAUUUUUUUUUUUACCAACUAUAGAUAGUUCUCUCUUUCUGUAAGUGGACUGUUGGGAAAACCUUUUAUCGAGCAAUUUUAAAGUAAAGUGAAUUUACCCCAGACUUGGCUUCAAGGGAGAAAAGGAGACAGGAAGGGAGUCAUGAGUCUGGGAAGGGAGAGGGCCAGGAGAUGAUUCGAGCACACAUGGACGCUGGGUACUGAGAAGCAAGAGAAGUCUUGGGACCAGGCAGGUGUAGCCAGCCACCGCCCCACAAAGGAGAGGACAGGUAACAUGUGGACUGAGGAAAGACACAUGACACCUGAGCGUGGAUGGACAGGAGACACACAAGCAGAUGCCAGACAGCAGGAAAAGUGGGCAAAGCCACCAAAAGGCUCCCCUCUUAGUGCUGGAGGUCUCAAGCCAAGCCCAGAUGCUGAAGCUGCAGAGGUGGAAGGAAUCCCGCUGCAUGAACAAUCCUUUUUGUUCCUCCUCCCCACUUUUUCAUUAAUACCUUUUAGAUUCUUCACCUCAUUUAAAGAUAUGCAAGGCUGUUUUCCGUUUCUUACAUCACAGUAUCCCAUGUAUCCCUCCCUCUCCUUCUGCUUCCUGAUGUGACGAAUGGUAUUUUGUGUUUUAGGAAUGAAAAAAUCAACACAACUAUGGGCUUACUCUCAGGGGAAGCACAUCUAAUGUCAGAAUAUUCUGUGGAUGAGAUGCUGAUGGGUGAAGACACACUCUAUGAGAACCUUUUAGUUACUACCUCGGGGGAAGCACAUCUACUCUCAGAACUCAGAGGAAAAGACAGUUGUGGAGGAAGACACUCUCUGAACAUUUUG
ensembl:lncRNA